rnacentral:sRNA from 1 species
AAGAAGUCAUUCUAGAUUUGUAUCAGGCAUGGAGGAGAUAGAUUCAUCUUCUUUCCGUCAGUUUGAAAUGAAUUGCAAUGUCAAUUAUAAAGCUUAAGUCUUUUUAAACCAAGGCAGAGUGAAGAUGUUUCCUUUCAGGAAUCAAGCUGGAAUUCUUAUGCAACGUUAUUGACCAUGAUAAGCCCAAUCAGUUUGAACAUGAAUACUGUAUCCAAAAUGGGAAUUCUGUUGGAAGUUAGUCUUUCUGUGAAAAAGUUAUAAAUAAACAGGAAAACUUGACACAUCUAAAAAAUUCACACCAAAAAAACAUGGAAACACAUACAGAGGGAGAGGAACAAUGGGAAGAAAAUUUCUACUCUGUCCAUUGACCCAGUUCUGUAUCUACAGCAAAUCUGAUAAUAGAUGGUGUAUAUGGAAUGUGAUGAGCCAGAUGAACAUUCAAGAAUUUGUAGCAUGAUCUUGUUAAAGGUUGCGGAAAAACAUCAGUCAUUAUGGAAAACAGAUCUUCCCCACC